UACGUAGGGGGCAAGCGAUACUCGGAAUCACUAGGCGUAAAGCGCAGGUAGGAGGUUUAGUAAGUCUGUUGUGAAAGCUCCCGGCUUAACUGGGAGAGGUCAACGGAAACUGCUAGGCUAGAGUGCGGUAGAGGUAGCUGGAAUUCCCGGUGUAGCGGUGAAAUGCGUAGAUAUCGGGAGGAAUACCUAUGGCGAAAGCAGGCUACUGGACCGUCACUGACUCUGAUGAGCGAAAGCCAGGGGAGCAAACGGG
rnacentral:rRNA from 1 species